rnacentral:rRNA from 1 species
GUGGGGAAUCUUGCACAAUGGGGGAAACCCUGAUGCAGCGACGCCGCGUGAGCGAUGAAGCCCUUCGGGGUGUAAAGCUCUUUCGGCAGGAACGAUAAUGACGGUACCUGCAAAAGAAGCUGCGGCUAACUACGUGCCAGCAGCCGCGGUAAUACGUAGGCAGCAAGCGUUGUUCGGAGUUACUGGGCGUAAAGAGUAUGUAGGCGGUUUGCCAAGUCCGGUGUGAAAUCUCCCGGCUCAACUGGGAGGGUGCGCCGGAUACUGGCAGGCUGGAGUGCGGGAGAGGAGAGCGGAAUUCCUGGUGUAGCGGUGAAAUGCGUAGAUAUCAGGAGGAACACCUGCGGUGUAGACGGCUCUCUGGACCGCCACUGACGCUGAGAUACGAAAGCGUGGGUAGCAAACAGGAUUAGAAACCCCUGUAGUCC